rnacentral:misc_RNA from 1 species
UUUCCGUAGGUGAACCUGCGGAAGGAUCAUUAAUGAAUGAAUGUAGAGUCGGUUGUAGCUGGCCUCCCCGGAGGCAUGUGCACGCCUGCUCUUUCAUCCACACACCCCUGUGCACCCGUGAGACGGGAGGCUUUGGCCCGAUUUAAAAACCGGGCCUCGGUUCCCCCGUCUGUAUAACACAAACUCCAUUUAUCUGAAUGUAAACCUGACGCUAAGCGUCUGAACUAAUACAAAGUUUCAACAACGGAUCUCUUGGCUCUCGCAUCGAUGAAGAACGUAGC